AUUGAACGCUGGCGGCAUGCCCUACACAUGCAAGUCGAACGGCAGCACGGGAGCAAUCCUGGUGGCGAGUGGCGAACGGGUGAGUAAUAUAUCGGAACGUGCCCAGUCGUGGGGGAUAACGUAGCGAAAGCUACGCUAAUACCGCAUACUAUCUAUGGAUGAAAGCGGGGGAUCGCAAGACCUCGCGCGAUUGGAGCGGCCGAUAUCAGAUUAGGUAGUUGGUGAGGUAAAGGCUCACCAAGCCGACGAUCUGUAGCUGGUCUGAGAGGACGACCAGCCACACUGGGACUGAGACACGGCCCAGACUCCUACGGGAGGCAGCAGUGGGGAAUUUUUGGGACAAUGGGCGCAAGCCUGAUCCAGCAAUGCCGCGUGCAGGAUGAAGGCCUCGGUUGUAACGU
rnacentral:rRNA from 1 species